rnacentral:misc_RNA from 1 species
UCCGGUUUGGCACCGGCAGUCCUCCCAGAGUCCUCGGCAUUACCCGGUAGCAACUGGGAGCGGGGGUUGCGCUCGUUGCGGGACUUAACCCAACAUCUCACGACACGAGCUGACGACAGCCAUGCAGCACCUGUCCUGGGACUCCGAAGAGGGGACUCGGUUUCUCGAGCCUUUCCCCAAGAUGUCAAGCCCAGGUAAGGUGGGGAUGACGUUCGUCUGAC